GGAUGAUGCAUUUGCGUUGCAUUCGAGCUGGCAGUACAAUUGUGCUUCAAAUGCUUGCUUUCUUGGUUAUCAUAUCGAUCGUCAACAGGGAGAAGCUUAGGUUCUCACAGACCCCUUGGCAUCUUGAUGAAGCACAUAUUCUUUCUUCAUCUCUUCCAAGACAGCAUCAUUUGUGUACUGAUGUAGGCAAUCAUUCAGUUCUUUAGCCUGUUUGCGACAAAGCCAAACAACAGAAAGGGUUCUUCCUGAGGCACAUUGCGCGUACUUAGAAGUAAAAUUGGUCACAUUCUUUAAGUGCCUUCUGCUUCAUUUUGCUUCUUAACGCUUCUUCGACUUUCUUCUUCACGUGAUUUUCGCGUGCUUCCUGUAUGUAACCCAUUUCGAAGCCCUUCUCUUUCCCGUCUCUCCGUGACAAGAUCAGGAAACUAAUUCGAUGACCAUGGACUUUCAACGUCCUGUUGCAGAGAGAGAGAGAGAGAGAAACUGAGUUGGCACGCACUGGCGAGUCAGAUAUCGGAAUUGGUAUCCGGGCUUGG
rnacentral:misc_RNA from 1 species